rnacentral:rRNA from 1 species
CCUACGGGUGGCAGCAGUGAGGAAUAUUGGUCAAUGGACGAGAGUCUGAACCAGCCAAGUAGCGUGAAGGAUGACUGCCCUAUGGGUUGUAAACUUCUUUUAUAAAGGAAUAAAACGAGGCACGUGUGCCUUUUUGCAUGUACUUUAUGAAUACGGAUCGGCUAACUCCGUGCCAGCAGCCGCGGUAAUACGGAGGAUCCGAGCGUUAUCCGGAUUUAUUGGGUUUAAAGGGAGCGUAGAUGGGUUGUUAAGUCAGUUGUGAAAGGUUGCGGCUCAACCGUAAAAUUGCAAUUGAUACUGGCAGUCUUGAGUACAGUUGGGGUAGGCGGAAUGCGUGGUGUAGCGGUGAAAUGCUUAGAUAUCACGAAGAACCCCGAUUGCGAAGGCAGCUUACUAAACUGUGACUGACAUUGAUGCUCGAAAGUGUGGGUAUCAAACAGGAUUAGAUACCCUUGUAGUC